rnacentral:lncRNA from 1 species
GUGUCGGAGCUGGAAGCUCUGGCUUUAGAGAUGCAAGGAUAUGGAAAGCAGAAGAAUGUCAAGGAAGAAGAGGACAUGGUGGUCGAGAGAGAGUUGGACGAUGGUUUCUGGGAAGAGUUGCUUAGUAAUGAGAGUUUGGCUUCGACCUCCUCUAACUAAGAUGUAUUCCUUUUGCCUUUUAGCUGUAUUUUGAAGUUUUUUUUUUGUUCUUUUGUUUAUUUUUAAGCACCUUUUUAUUCCCUUGUCUAUUUUCCAGCUUUUUUUAUCUAGUAGUGUAAACUAAAAGUCUAUACAACACGACGUAGUUCCUGUAUGUACGUUGACAAUCAUAUGAAAAAUAGUUUGUCGGUAAUUCCACAGCCGUUGACAAGGCUUUAAAUUAAGAAAAGUCCAGGCGACCAAUUAGGAACUGUUCUUUAUGAUCCGAAAUAUACAAAUCGCUUUUGGUGAUACUGUUUUCUUUUUACUAUUUUGCUGUCAUGAUAAAAAAAAACAUGUUCCAAAUCGGACACUGCUUUGGUCGUCCAGAUUAGAUGAUUUAAUAAAUAUUUGCUAAUCAUCAGGUUUAGACAACAAACCAAAUCUCCAGAUGGACCGAUUGCCACAUCAACAUUAAAAAAGAAACAGUUUAAAACCAGUCAUCGAAUUGUCACUUCAUUAACGUUGUCAAGUUUUAUAUUCUUAAAUAGAGAUACAUAAGAGGAUGGGCACCACGUGAAAUCUAUACCGGCGCACAGUCGUCAAUACAUGAAGUUCGAGAAGUUUCGAACCCAACCCUUUUCUCUUCUUAAUAUUCCGGAACUUUCGAAUUUUUUAAAGUCGAGUGAGUGAGAAAGAGUACUAUAUUUAUAUAAUUUUUUAUUCAAUUUAAUAUUAUCACUCACUUUCCCACUCAUUCCUCCUAUUUAAGCCACCUCCCCAUGGCCUACGUGGAUAUUAUCUUCCUCUCUUCUCCCUCCCAACUGCCAUUAACGAACUCUUAAACCAUAUAUGUCAGCACCACAACAUCAAAUCACUUUCAUCAUUCACUUUCAAAUCCGAUAACAAACAAACAGUUUCCCAAGAUGGUUUAGUUGGAACAAUUUGAUCCAAGUUACCAAACAAUCAUUUCUUUUUCUUAAAUCGAUGAAUCCGUUUCUGCUCCAAGAAAAUGUUCCACCACCGUCACCACCAAAACCAAUCGAAGGGUUGCACGAAAUAGGACCGCCUCCGUUUCUGAUCAAGACAUUCGAGAUUGUGGAGGAUCCAAACACGGACCACAUCGUGUCUUGGAACAGAGGAGGCACUAGUUUUGUCGUCUGGGAUUUGCAUUCUUUCUCUGAGUUUCUUCUCCCUCGUCACUUCAAACACAGCAACUUCUCAAGCUUCGUCAGACAACUCAACACUUACGUAAGUCUUCUUCUUUUCUCUGACCCAACAAAACUCAAAUGCUCUGUUUUUCUGUGUUAGUAAAAUUCAAUUUUUUUUUACUGCAAAAAUGGGUUAUUUCUAGAAACAUCGAAUAAUGUAGAUUCUGUCUGGUAGUGGGAGAAGAAGAAGUCUCUUUAGUAAGUUCUAGAAUCUUGGCUCGUGCCACCAUGCUUUCUAAAACAAUUAGUAAGUUCUAGAAUUUUGGUUCUUGUCAACUUGGUUUCUAAAACAAUUAGUAAGUUCUAGAAUCUUGGGUUCGUGCCAACUUGGUUCUUAAAAUAAUCAAGAAAGCGUUAUCAAUCUUAUCACAAUAUAUAUUUUUUAUAGACUAAGGUUGCCCACUUGUUCCAUUUUUUUUUAUAAUAUCUUCUGAUAGUACACAUCUCUCUCCAAUAAUUUUUUGUUUGUCUAAUCACACUUUUGAAACCUUAUAGAUAUUUUCAAAUAAAAUUUUGAAAACUAUUUAUAGGGUUUUAGAAAGAUAGAGGCAGAGAGAUGGGAGUUUGCAAACGAAGGGUUUCUCUUGGGACAGAGACAUUUACUGAAGAGCAUCAAGAGAAGAGCUUCCUUUGCUUCAUCAUCGAUUAUUCAAGAUCCUUGCGUAGAGCUUCGUAAGGAGAAGCAACUGCUGUUGAUGGAGCUGGCGAGUCUGAGACAGCAGCAACAAACCGCGAGAAUUUACAUCAAAUCCAUGGAGCAGAGGAUCGAAGGAGCAGAGAAGAAACAGAGAAUGAUGAUGUCGUUCUUGGCUAGGGCGUUUCAGGGCCCUACGUUUCUGUAUCAGCUACUCCAGGAGAGAGACAUGAGACUUAAGGAGGUUGAGGUUGAGGUAGAAGAGAGGGAAAGAGGUUCUUCGGUGUCUGAACUCGAGGCUCUGGCGCUGGAGAUGCAAGGGUAUGGGAGACAGAGGAAUAUGAAGGAAGAAGAGGAUAUGGUGGUCGAGAGAGAGUUGGACGAUGGUUUCUGGGAAGAGUUGCUUAGUAAUGAGAGUUUGGCUUCGACCUCCUCUAACUAAGAUGUAUUCCUUUUGCCUUUUAGCUGUAUUUUGAAGUUUUUUUUUUGUUCUUUUGUUUAUUUUUAAGCACCUUUUUAUUCCCUUGUCUAUUUUCCAGCUUUUUUUAUCUAGUAGUGUAAACUAAAAGUCUAUACAACACGACGUAGUUCCUGUAUGUACGUUGACAAUCAUAUGAAAAAUAGUUUGUCGGUAAUUCCACAGCCGUUGACAAGGCUUUAAAUUAAUAAUGUCUUGUAGUGAAGUGAUCUCUUGAUUAUGUGGGUAGGGGAGAAGUGAACUCAGUGAGCAAAACAGUUG